CGCACGUGCGUUCAAACUAGUAGAAAUAAAGGGGGGAGAUCUACAAUUGGAAAGUGAAUGAUAUCUUUAGGCAUAUGAAGAUCUUCAAGCUUCCUCAAAAAUGUCAUCGUAAAGGUAACUAUUUUCGAUUAGAAAUCGUAUGGGUUGAGCUUUGUUUCAAGACAAACAAAAGAGGUAUACUCUCCAAUCAUUAGUAUCAUUCUUAAACCUAUCCUUCAAUAGAUUGAAUCUCUUAAGAAGAUUGAUACCACCAUUUAAGGAGCAGAUCUAUGACUGAAACUAAUUCAAAACCGGUAUCUCUAGGUCUUCCAUCAAUCUGCUCAGUCGAUCGACACCAUUGGGAAAAGUUCAUUGGUAACUAAAAUGAUAAAUUUAGAUUCAAUCAGGUAUUUGAAUUUAGGAACAAAACAUGGACACUAUUGAACAAAAAGGAACAAGGCAGCUAAAAGAACAAAAAAAGAAAGACCUGAGGAUCGCGUAACCCAUUAGGCAAGUCUCCAAAUGGCUAUGGUCUCGCCUAAUUUCCAGAGUGCCUAGUCCUGAAGGAGAAAAUCAUGUUGCAAUAGAAAGGAUCAGUCGGUGUCUCGGCGAAUGGUUUUGCGAUGCAUUGCCUUAUUGCUCAAAUUUACAAAACCUGAAGAUAUUGAAAUUAAAAGUAAAACGAUGAUGAAAAUGACCAAAGGAAAGCGAUCCUGACUAUCUGAAGAUUUGAUGAUAUGUCCAUUUUCUGAUAAAUUGGAAGUGGACAUUAUAGAUUCUUCAUCUUAGACCAUUGUUAAGACAUUAUUAAUCUUACCCAGUUGAGUGAAACAUAAUUCGAUAACGAUUUUUAUCUUUUUAUGAUGUCAAGCAAAAACCCCAAUUCUUGGGGUGUGAUUAUGUGAUUA